rnacentral:siRNA from 1 species
UUGCUAUCUUUACAGUUGCCAGA